UACUGCAUUUUUUCUUACACAUGUGUUUUUCUCUUUUUGAAAACUUUGCUUUGGUAGGGAACUGUAUGGGGCCUGCCAGAGAUUAAACUCAACCAAAUUUUAUUUAAUGUCAACCGAUUAUUUAAUAGUCAAAACUUUCAACAACGGAUCUCUUGGUUCUCGCAUCGAUGAAGAACGCAGCGAAAUGCGAUAAGUAAUAUGAAUUGCAGAUAUUCGUGAAUCAUCGAAUCUUUGAACGCACAUUGCGCCCUUUGGUAUUCCAAAGGGCAUGCCUGUUUGAGCGUCAUUUCUCCCUCAAACCCUCGGGUUUGGUGUUGAGCGAUACGCUGGGUUUGCUUGAAAGAAAGGCGGAGUAUAAACUAAUGGAUAGGUUUUUUCCACUCAUUGGUACAAACUCCAAAACUUCUUCCAAAUUCGACCUCAAAUCAGGUAGGACUACCCGCUGAACUUAAGCAUAUCAAUAAGCGGAGG
rnacentral:rRNA from 1 species